AUUGAACGCUAGCGGGAUGCUUUACACAUGCAAGUCGAACGAGUGGCGGACGGGUGAGUAAUAUAUCGGAACGUGCCCAGUAGCGGGGGAUAACUACUCGACAGAGUGGCUAAUACCUCCUACUAUUGGAACGGCCGAUAUCGGAUUAGCUAGUUGGAGGGGUAAAGGCUAACCAAGGCAACGAUCCGUAGCUGGGUUGGGAGGACGAACAGCCACACUGGGACUUAGAAACGGCCCAGACUCCUACGGGAGGCAGCAGUGGGGAAUUUUGGACAAUGGGGGAAACCCUGAUCCAGCCAUCCCGCGGGUAUGAGAAGGCCUUCGGGUUGUAAAGUACUUUUGGCAGAGAAGCGGUAUCUGCAGAAUAAGCACCGGCUAACUACGUGCCAGCAGCCGCGGUAAUUC
rnacentral:rRNA from 1 species